GGCUGAGGUACAUAUCUUACAUGCUAAAGCAGACCUGCCUUCAGGUUCUCUCUGCAUCCUACCUAGCAUACUCUGCCCACAACUCUGACCUUUCCAGCCCAGGGACUGGGCUGCCCUUCUCCAAGAGACUCUCCUCGAUAUAAUCCAGAUAUUUUGGUCUCUUCCUCUCUCUUUCUCUCCUCUUCUCUCUCUGUGCAUGCCCUUUCUCUACCCUAACCCCCCACCCUCCCACAUCCCAUGCCUACCACUAUGCUUUUCCCCGUGGUGACUUCCCUGGCCUCAAUCCUUGGGGCCUGAGAGCAGUUUCCCAAUAAACCUGCCUUUAAUAUUAUAUAAUCUGGCUUGAAUUGGCUUAUAUCACUGGUGGCAGAGAGAUAACUUAUCAUUAAGUGCCAAUGAUAACAAUUUAUAGACAAUAAAAUGGUGUUUGCAAUAACUUAAGCAAUUUGCCAAAAAAUAUGCAGCUGGUUAUGUAAAUUCAACUUCUCAGAUAUGAACUCCUGGCUACUCUGUCCUUCAGCCUGUAUUCUUCAUUGUUGUAAUAUAACAUUUGAGUCUGCUGGAGAGAUGGCUGGCUCGGCAGGUAGGAGUGCCUGCUGCUCAUUUCAGAGGACAUUAUUUCCUAGCAUCCAUGUCUGGCAGAUCACAACCAUAUGUAACUCCAGUAUUAGUUUCCUACAUUUUCUUCUGGCCUCCAAUGGCACUUAUAAAGAUGUGUUUACAUGGAUAAUACACACACAUAGGAAAUAAAAUACAGCCACCACACCCUCCUAAGAAACAGAGAUAAAAACAGAAACCAAGGAAACACAUCUACCCAAUGAACAGAAGGCCAUCUAUCAGCACCUAGAAUUACAGUCUUCCCAAACCCAAAGGCCUGGGCACACACAUAAAAAUGCAAUAACAACCAGAACACAGUGUAUCUGCUAGAGCUCAGAAAUCCUUCUAAGUAGGCCAUGAGAAUUGAAAAAACAAACUAACAGAUAUGGUCCCUAAAGAGGAAAUUAAUAAAUUCCUUAAAGAAUUCCAUGAAAACACAAACAGUUGAAGGAAAUGAAUCAAACAGUUCAUGACAUGAAAGUGGAACUUGAAUCAAUAAAGGAAUAAACAUGGAGUCCCAGUCAGAGUUGGGCUCUGCUUUCCCCUUCUUGCCUGGCAGGUGGAUGCCCUGAGGGAAGCCCAGAUCCCAGAAACUCCCACCCACAUUACAACUCUCAGUAGUACACCAGUGGUGCCUGGGUAGACAGGAGACUGGGAGCUACAGCAACUGUUCCAGACUCCACUGUUUCCCACUCCAGGAAAACCUGGACUGAGAACCACAAUUGCGGACUGCAUUUUGCAUCCCCUGAGCAUCAUGUUGGUGGCACUCCAGGUGCUCUAGCGGGAAGCAGGACACAGGCCAGCAUAAAAACCCUAGUGAAAUAGAGCCACUAAUUAAAAACCUCAACGGGGGGGGGGCAGAAAUAUGGUUUUAAUGGAGAAUUUUAUAAGAAUUUAAAAGAAGGGUAAAUAGUAAAUAAUCCUUAACUAUUCAACAAAUUCCACAGACAGAACAUUGCCCACAUUCAUUUUAAGAGGUCACAGAUAUCCUGAUGUCCACAUAAUGACCCAACAAAGAAAGAUAAGUAUAGACCAAUUCCUUUAUGAAUAUAGUUGCAAAAAUUAUCAAUAAAAUAUCUGUAAAUCAAAUCUAAGAAUACAUCUAAAAGAUUGUCCACCUUAAUCAAUUAGGUUUCAUUCCAAAGACUCAGAAGUGGUUCAAUAUAGCUGUCUAGAUAAAUGAAACCCACCAUAUAAACAAACUAAAAGCCAAAAACCAUAGGAUCACAUCAUUAGAUUCCAAAAAUGGCCUUUGACAAAAUCCAAACCCCUUCAUGAUGAAAAGUCCUAGAGAUGUAGAGAUAGCAGGGAGUUACUCAAACAUAAUAAAGGCAAUUUACAGCAAGUCCAUAACUAACAUCAAUUUAAAUGGAGAGAAACUCAAAGAAAUGCCACUAAAAUACAGAGGAAAGCAAGGUUGUUUACUCUCGCCAAACUUAUUUAAUGUAGUCUCAGCUCUAAGACAACUGAAAAAGAUCAGGAGGGUACAAAUAGAAAAGAAAUCAAAGUGUCUUUCUUUGCUGAAGAUACAAUAAUAUACAUAAGUGAUCCUAAAAAUUCCACUGGAAAAUUCCUACUGCUGAUGAUUAUAAUCAGCAAAGUAGCAGGAGAAAAAUUAACACACAAACAUCAGUAGUCUUUUUAUAUACAAAUGAAAUACAGACUGAGAAUGAAGUCAGGGAAAUAACACCUUUCACAAUAGCCUC
rnacentral:lncRNA from 1 species